rnacentral:rRNA from 1 species
UACGUAGGUGGCAAGCGUUAUCCGGAAUUAUUGGGCGUAAAGAGCGCGCAGGUGGUUAAUUAAGUCUGAUGUGAAAGCCCACGGCUUAACCGUGGAGGGUCGUUGGAAACUGGUUGACUUGAGUGCAGAAGAGGGAAGUGGAAUUCCAUGUGUAGCGGUGAAAUGCGUAGAGAUAUGGAGGAACACCAGUGGCGAAGGCGGCUUCCUGGUCUGCAACUGACACUGAGGCGCGAAAGCGUGGGGAGCAAACAGG